GAUGAAGAACGUAGCGAAAUGCGAUAAGUAAUGUGAAUUGCAGAAUUCAGUGAAUCAUCGAAUCUUUGAACGCACCUUGCACCCUUUGGUAUUCCGAAGGGUAUGCUCGUUUGAGUGUCAUUGUACUCUCACACUUCUAAUUCCUUUCGGGAUUGGGAGCGGUGGACUUGGGUGUUGCUGCUUUAGUUGUGGCUCACCUCAAAUAAGUUAGUGCAACUCUUGGUUGGACAUAGUACGGCGUGAUAGGUGUCUUCGCCGGCGCCUCUGUAAGGAGGGUGGCCGAUCGGGAGCUCUGUGCUUCAAACCGUCUUCGGACAAUCUUUGACAACUUGACCUCAAAUCGAGUAGGACUACCCGCUGAACUUAAGCAUAUCAAUAAGCGGAGA
rnacentral:misc_RNA from 1 species